CGCAUCUGUGCAUGCAGCAUAUCAAUAAGCGGAGGAAAAGGUACCUACGCUUAGGAUGUUGACGAGACUGUCGAUUUCAUACAUGACUCUGUGCAUAUCAAUAAGCGGAGGAAAAGCCAACUACCUACGCUUAGGAUGUUGACACACGCGCGUGCUCGACUCUAUACAUGACUCUGUGCAUAUCAAUAAGCGGAGGAAAAGAAACUAACAAGGAUUCCCUUAGUAACGGCGAGUGAAGCGGGAAGAGCUCAAAUUUGAAAUCUUCAAGGUUUUACCUUGACGAAUUGUAGUUUAAAGAAGUGUUUUCUGUUGAAGUUUUGGUAAAAGUUCUUUGGAAUAGGACAUCAUAGAGGGUGAGAAUCCCCGUAUUUGACCAUUAUUUUCAGCUGUGUGAUACACUUUCAAAGAGUCGGAUUGUUUGGGAAUGCAGUCCAAAAUGGGUGGUAAAUUUCAUCUAAAGCUAAAUAUUGGCGAGAGACCGAUAGCGAACAAGUACCGUGAGGGAAAGAUGAAAAGAACUUUGAAAAGAGAGUUAAACAGUACGUGAAAUUGUCAAAAGGGAAGCGUUUGACACCAGUGUUGUUUUCUCGAAAAUCAAUUAAAAAGAGUUAGAUUUUGUUGUGUAUUGACCUUAACAGCUUGCAUUUCAAUUUUCUUGCUUUUUUUAAUGCACUUUUCGUUUAACAAGUCAACAUCAGUUUCUUUUGUUGUAAAAAGGUCAUUGGAAGGUGGCUUUCUUUUCGGAGAAAGUGUUUAUAGCCUUUGACUCCUGCAAUCGGAGAGACUGAGGUCUGCAGCGUAGAUCCUUCGGGGUUAGAUACAUUUGUGCUAAGUUAUAGCUUUUUAUAGACAACUUGUUGACUAUGAUUAGUCUUGUAGCUUACUCGCUUAUGCUAUUUUACCUACGCUUAGGAUGUUGACACACGCGCGUGCUC
rnacentral:rRNA from 1 species